GCCUGGCUGGCUCGGCCAGUAGAGCAUGGGACUCUUGAUCUCUGAGCCGUGAGUUCAAGUCUCAUUCUGGGCA
rnacentral:tRNA from 1 species